CCUACGGGUGGCAGCAGUGGGGAAUAUUGGACAAUGGGCGAAAGCCUGAUCCAGCCAUGCCGCGUGUGUGAAGAAGGCCUUCGGGUUGUAAAGCACUUUCAGUGGGGAAGAAAGCCUUGGGGCUAAUACCCUCGAGGAAGGACAUCACCCACAGAAGAAGCACCGGCUAACUCCGUGCCAGCAGCCGCGGUAAUACGGAGGGUGCGAGCGUUAAUCGGAAUUACUGGGCGUAAAGCGCGCGUAGGCGGUCUGAUAAGCCGGUUGUGAAAGCCCCGGGCUCAACCUGGGAACGGCAUCCGGAACUGUCAGGCUAGAGUGCAGGAGAGGAAGGUAGAAUUCCCGGUGUAGCGGUGAAAUGCGUAGAGAUCGGGAGGAAUACCAGUGGCGAAGGCGGCCUUCUGGACUGACACUGACGCUGAGGUGCGAAAGCGUGGGUAGCAACCAGGAUUAGAUACCCGUGUAGUC
rnacentral:rRNA from 1 species